rnacentral:rRNA from 1 species
AGGUAAUGGCUCACCAAGGCGACGAUCCCUAGCUGGUUUGAGAGGAUGAUCAGCCACACUGGGACUGAGACACGGCCCAGACUCCUACGGGAGGCAGCAGUGGGGAAUAUUGCACAAUGGGCGCAAGCCUGAUGCAGCCAUGCCGCGUGUGUGAAGAAGGCCUUCGGGUUGUAAAGCACUUUCAGUCAGGAGGAAAGGUUAGUAGUUAAUACCUGCUAGCUGUGACGUUACUGACAGAAGAAGCACCGGCUAACUCCGUGCCAGCAGCCGCGGUAAUACGGAGGGUGCGAGCGUUAAUCGGAAUUACUGGGCGUAAAGCGUACGCAGGCGGUUUGUUAAGCGAGAUGUGAAAGCCCCGGGCUCAACCUGGGAACUGCAUUUCGAACUGGCAAACUAGAGUGUGAUAGAGGGUGGUAGAAUUUCAGGUGUAGCGGUGAAAUGCGUAGAGAUCUGAAGGAAUACCGAUGGCGAAGGCAGCCACCUGGGUCAACACUGACGCUCAUGUACGAAAGCGUGGGGAGCAAACGGGAUUAGAUACCCCGGUAGUCCACGCCGUAAACGAUGUCUACUAGAAGCUCGGAGCCUCGGUUCUGUUUUUCAAAGCUAACGCAUUAAGUAGACCGCCUGGGGAGUACGGCCGCAAGGUUAAAACUCAAAUGAAUUGACGGGGGCCCGCACAAGCGGUGGAGCAUGUGGUUUAAUUCGAUGCAACGCGAAGAACCUUACCUACACUUGACAUACAGAGAACUUACCAGAGAUGGUUUGGUGCCUUCGGGAACCUCUGAUACAGGUGCUGCAUG